UGCUAGGAUUUUCUUUGUAGUGUGAGAAGUGCCUUAGUUCUAGAUACCAAGAGAUUUUUCUAGGCAAGGUCAUAUGUGAAACCAAGUUUAAAAUCCUACAAUGGUUUCAUUAUCUGAUAAAAUGAGGGCAAAGAAAAUGAUUAUAGCUUUGCCCCUUCUGUCAUGAAUUAGAGUGUAGAAGCUGAUUUCUCUAAUCUUGUUCUCAACUGUUUUCCAAGUUUGUUUUCUGCUACUUCUUCCAUUUUGUGUGACUCUUUCAUUUGUAUAUACAGUCUGAAUUUAAUUUAAGUCUUUGGUUCUUGUUACCUGUGAAGGCUUUACAACUGAUGGCCGCGCUGCUAUUGCUGCCAAUUGUAGGAGAUCUCAAUUGCAGCAAAUGUAGCCCAAAAGGAAAUUGAUAAGUACAUCAAGAUACCUAGAGAAGCCCUUCAGCUAAGUCGACCUAUCAACAACAGUUCUAUAUCGGUCUAAAUGCCAAGGUUUUGCAGUCUCCUCCAGCUAAAUACAUCUACUUAGGACAAAUGGGAAACUUAAUUUGGUUCACACAGCACAAAUCUCUUCUUAGCAAAGAAGGGGAGAGCCUGUUCCCCAAUUGUUCUUGGACAAGAGUAUUGGUUGCCCAUUCUUACUGGUGCCAACACCAGGCUAAGCAACAUGGCAAGCACCAGGCUUGUCCCAAGGAUCACAGACAGUAGCUCAACUUGUAGACAUGUAGUUCCAAUGUACUCGGCAUUGUAUAAUGUAGAAAAGAGCAAAAGUUGAUAGAUACAGAGAAAAAGGCAAAUGUACAAAUGACCCUCCUAAA